rnacentral:lncRNA from 1 species
AUUAUUUACACUUUACUAAUUAAUGCAUUUAAUCAUACUAAAAUAUCAAACUCAUAAGAUUCAUCACCAAUAACCAACAACCUCAUCAAAAAUCUGCAUAUAUCAUAUAUAGGAUUUUCAAGCCAUAAAAUCCUAUUUUUCAAUUUUGUUACUUCACAUAACAUAUUUAAUUUAUUUAUUCAUAACUAGUCCAUUUUCAUGAAAAAUAUCAAAUCA